rnacentral:rRNA from 1 species
GGGUAACAGGAGUGCUUGCACUCGCUGACGACCGGCGCACGGGUGCGUAACGCGUAUAGAACCUACCUUUUACUGAGGGAUAGCCUUUAGAAAUGAAGAUUAAUACCUCAUGGUAUUGCAAUUUGGCAUCAGAUUGUAAUUAAAGAUUUAUUGGUAAAAGAUGGCUAUGCGUCUUAUUAGCUAGAUGGUAAGGUAACGGCUUACCAUGGCAACGAUAAGUAGGGGCCCUGAGAGGGGGAUCCCCCACACUGGUACUGAGACACGGACCAGACUCCUACGGGAGGCAGCAGUGAGGAAUAUUGGGCAAUGGAGGCAACUCUGACCCAGCCAUGCCGCGUGCAGGAAGACUGCCCUAUGGGUUGUAAACUGCUUUUAUACAGGAAGAAACACACCUACGUGUAGGUGCUUGACGGUACUGUAAGAAUAAGCACCGG